AGCAGCCGCGGUAAUUCCAGCUCCAAUAGCGUAUAUUAAAGUUGAUUGCAGUUAAAAAAGCUCGUAGUUGAAUUUCGGGAUCAAUAUAUCGGUCGUGCCAUUGGUACGUACUGGUAUCAUUGGUUUCUCCUUUCUGACGAACCAUGAUGUCAUUAAUUUGGUGUUAUGGGAAGUUAGGACUGUUACUUUGAAAAAAAUUAGAGUGUUUAAAGCAGGCUUUAGCUUGAAUACAUUAGCAUGGAAUAAUGAAAUAGGACGUUCGAACCUAUUUUGUUGGUUUCUAGGAUCAACGUAAUGAUUAAUAGGGAUAGUUGGGGGCAUUAGUAUUCAAUUGUCAGAGGUGAAAUUCUUGGAUUUAUUGAAGACUAACUACUGCGAAAGCAUUUGCCAAGGAUGUUUUCAUUAAUCAAGAACGAAAGUUAGGGGAUCGAAGACGAUCAGAUACCGUCGUAGUCUUAACCAUAAACUAUGCCGACUAGGGAUCGGAUGAUGUUAAUUUUUUAAUGACUCAUUCGGCGCC
rnacentral:rRNA from 1 species